AUGAUGACAAAGAUGGGCUUCAACAAAAACUGGGUCAAUCUGAUUAUGAAGUGCGUCACCACUGUUAAGUACCAAAUUAAGGUGAAUAGGGGAGUCACGGAUGUAAUUAUCCCACAAAGAGGACUGCGUCAGGGAGACCCUCUUUCCCCAUAUCUAUUUCUGAUAUGCGCAGAAGGUUUCUUCGCCCUACUUAACGAAGCUGAAGCUAAUGGAAGACUAAAGGGGAUACAAAUAUGUAGACGAGCCCCAAGUGUGAGUCACCUUCUGUUCGCUGAUGAUUCACUUCUGUUGAUGGAGGCAAAUGCAAAUGCAGCGCGGGAAGUGAAUAAUAUCCUAAGCACUUAUGAAGCAUGUUCUGGGCAAAUGAUCAAUAAAGAGAAGUCAGCCAUUCUAUUCAGCAAAAACACUGUUGGAAGCAAGAGGAAUGAGAUGAAGAGAAUUCUGGGGAUAAAUGUUGAAGGGUUUAGAGGGAAGUACUUAGGCCUGCCGGUAUAUAUUGGGAAGAACAAAGCAAGGGCUUUCAAUUACAUAAAAGAGAAAGUAUGGAAAAUAAUACAUGGAUGGAAAGAAAAGCUCUUAUCAAAGGCUGGCAAGGAAGUAUUGAUCAAAGUUGUAGCACAAGCUAUACCAGUAUACGCAAUGGCCUGUUUUGACUUGACAAAAUCCUUUUGUGAAGAGUUAAGUGCAAUAAUCGGGAGGUAUUGGUGGAGUCAGAUGGAUAAAACAAAUAAGAUACAUUGGGUGAGUUGGGACGUAAUAUCAAAACCAAAGGCAGAAGGUGGAUUAGGAUUCAGGAACCUGCACUACUUUAACUUGGCCAUGUUGGCCAGGCAAGCAUGGCGGAUAUUGCAAAAUCCUUUCUCAUUAUGCACACAAGUUCUUGCUGCUAAAUACUUUCCAGAUGGUUCAAUACUAGAAGCGAAGCCAAUGAAGGGUAUUUCGUAUUCAUGGUGA
rnacentral:rRNA from 1 species